CAAGUUCCUACCAACACCUCCACUCCUUCCCCUCAGUGCCCCAAAUUCCAUUCACUACAGCACCUUUGGUGUUAAUGUGCAUGCACGUGGGAGCCCAGCCCUGUAAGCACCAUUCGUUAUUUACGGGGGAGUGAAGGCCUUUUCAGACCCUCCCCUGAGAAAAGAUUUUGAUGGAGGAGGCAGGGAGAGAAGAAAGCACUGUCCCCCAUAGAUGAUGAGAGUGGUGCUAUUGAAGGGGAAAUGGUGAAGAGGGAGGGGGCUGGUGUGGAGGCCAGACAUGCCCUUCCUACAGGUGCUGCCAAGGUGGCCUCCGGUGAGCUGUGGACAAGUCAGGCCUGCCUGCCUAUCACCGCCCUCAGGAGCCACUCCCAACCCCUCCCAGUGUCCUCCUCUCAAAGCAACUUUCCCUCUUAACUUCCUCUGCAUCCUUGCAGAGUUCCCGCCUGGCCUAACUUCCCCAUUUUCCAGGCAGGCAAAACUAAGCCAUGACAAAACCAAUGACGUCCACACCAAAGAAGGAGAGGAAUGCAGUGGGAGCCCAGGACCCUAACCCCCAGAGGCAGAAGCUGUCUCAACCCACUCAAGGAGAGACCCUUCCUGUGCUCCCCUCUCCCCAGGCCAAGGCUCUUCAUCAAGUCAUCGAUGCUGCUCUCCUUCAUCUUUUGUGGACCCAGGUGGAGAGACAGCUCAGACCCCGCUCCCAGCCCUGCCCUCGCACCACUGCAUGGUGUCAUCCCCACCCCGAAACUUCAGGGUGAGCCCCAGCUGAGUCAAUGACACUGUCAGCAUCUCGACCCCCAGAGUCUGCCCACUGCCCACACCUAGGGAAGGGCCUGGCAUGAGGUAGGGGGUCAGGGACCUGACUCCUGAAUGGAAAUAAAUGACAGCAGGAAUGCUAGCCUAGCCUGCCUUCCCUGCAAUACUGUCCCCCAGCCAAAGAAACAAUCAUCUAGGUUUUAUACCAACACCUGAUAAAAACAGCUUGCUGGGUCAGGUGUGGUGGCUCACACCUGUAAUCCUAGCACUUUGGGAGGCCGAGGCGGGUGGAUCACCUGACAUCAGGAGUUCGAGACCAGCCUGACCAACAUGGUGAAACCCUGUCUCUACUGAAAAUACAAAAUUAGCCAGGCAUGGUGGUACAUCCCUGUAAUCCCAGCUAUUUGGAAGGCUGAGGCAGGAGAAUCGCUUGAACUUGAGAAGCGGAGGUUGCAGUAAGUAAGAUCAUGCCAUUGCACUCCAGCCUGGGCAACAAGAAUGAAACUCCUUCUCAAAAAAAAAAAAAGAACACCUUGCUGAUUAUGUGGCAUUGAGCAUUAUCCAAGUCUCUGAGUGACUCUCUCCCCAUUCUAAGGACUAGGUGAGAAUAACCCCGGACAAAAUGUCUCUCAAUGAGAGCAGUGCACUGGGGCUGUGAAGCCACUGCAUCCCUCCCCUGCUAGGAGAGCUGUGCAAGAGGCCUGCCUGGAGCCUGGUUGUGCACUGUUGUUCAGUCCCCUGAUGUCCCAGCCUGGCUCCAUUAGGACGAUGGAGUCAGGGUCCUUUGGGUGGAACAGGAAGAAAAUAUAGACAAGCAGAUCCUGAUGUCUCCUCAUCAUUGCCGUCAGCUACAGGUUUUCACAGGAGACAUUGGGACUUACAAAGGCGGAAACUGCUUGUCUGUCACGUGAUCCUAGUCCCCAGCCUGGGCUCCUGUUAUUGCCAGGCCCUCCUCUGGGCGUCUCUCCUUCUGUAAUUAAUCCCUGCUGGACCUGUGGCCCCUCCCUCUGCCCUCAUUAACCUCCAGGAUGCAGGCAGCCUGGCAGAAGGCCAGAGAUCAGGCCUGGGGACGCCCAUACCUGCUUCUGUCCCCUGCCCAUGUGGCACACUGUGGACC
rnacentral:lncRNA from 1 species